UCAUAGAAUAUGUAUAUAUAUAGAUGGAGUGUGGUUCAAAUGCAAUAGGAGAGAUAGCUCGAAUGCCAGUAGUUUUCUAGCUAGGGUAGUUAGAGGAUCAAUUCUGAGUAGCAUUGAGGUAUAGAUGACGUGAUAGGGAUAGUGAAAAGGUAUAAGUUUCUGACAUGAAAAUCAGGAUCGAAAAGAAAAUAGAGCUAAAGAAUGGAAGGGUGAAUGUUUGGAUUUGGGUAAGAUAAAAAAAAAGUUGGCUAAAGAAUAAACUGGAAAAACAGAUUAGGAUAAGAUUAGGAAGAAUAGAGCCAAGAUAUCGAGGAGAUGAAUGUGGUUCUAGGAAGGGUAAACGAAAUAAACAAAAAAAAAAAAGUAAGGAUAGA
rnacentral:misc_RNA from 1 species